AUAUAUAUUAAGUAUAUUCCUCCUUUCUCCAUACAUUUGAUACGAGGAGAUCUGCUAUUGGCUCUCCAGCCUUUAGUUCUCUUCCUUCAUAAUAACUUCCUGUUUAAGAAAACCACAACUUGGACCAUUCUCAGCCAUGCAGAUUUGAUGUGAGGGGCUGUAUAGCCACCUAUGAUUAGAACCUGAUUUCCCUUCCCCUGAACACAGUAAUUGGUUCAAAGGUCGUCACAGGACUUAAGUAAGUCCAAUCAGAGGUCCUUUGAUAGGGAUUCUGGGACACAGCAUCCUUUCUCUUCCGUCUGUGUUAAUGAGGAAGCAUGUUCCUUUCCCCCAGGAGCUGCUGGUAGGCAUCUUGCAGCAAUGAGAAGAGCCAGCCUUAGGAUGAAGAGAGUAGAGAUGGGAAGAAGUGGAAUCCUUUGAGUUGCUGCAUCAGAUCUUUUUUUAAUAUUUAUUUACUUACUUGGCUGUGCCAGGUCCUAGUUGCGGCCCAUGGGAUCUUCCAUCUUUGUUGCAACAGGCACAAUCUUUCAGUUGCAGCAUGAGAACUCUUAGCUGUGGCAGGUGGGACCUAGUUCCCUAACCAGGGAUUGAACCCAGUCCCCCUGUGUUGGAAGUGCAGUGUCUUAGCCACUGGACCACCGGGGAAGUCCCUACUGGAUCAGAUCUUGCCCAAAGUCCAUUCUACAUCUGUCUCUUUCUAAUUUUGUUAUUGUUGUUUGAUCUUUAAGUUGUGUAUGACUCUGUGAUGCCAGGCUUCUCCGUCCAUGGGAUUUCCCAGGCAAGAGUACUGCACUGGGUUGCCAUUUCCUUCUCCAGGGGAUCUUCCCGAUCCAGGGAUGGAUCCCACAUCUCCGGCGUUGGCAGGUGGGUUCUUUACCACUGAGCCACCAGGAAAGCCCUCCCCUUCAAAUACAUGAGCUAAUAAAUUCUUUUUCUUUCUAAAGACAAUUUGGGAAAGAUUUCCUAAUGCUUACACCUGGCAGAUACCUAACACAAUUGAUACUAUUUGUGAACAAACUGCAGCAAACUAACACCUUUCUUUCCACUGAUGGCUUUCUUCUUAUUUACAAAUUCUUCCUCCUCUAUAACCCAUGGGGUUUUCUGCCUAUCAAACCCACACCUGCUUCUCAUCACUGCCUUUCUGCACGUUUCCUCUUUUCCAUGUAUCCCAAACAUCCAAACUCCCUUUCUUUUCAAAGCUGCCAUCCCCUCUCCAGCCCUGGGGAAUUUUCUGUUUCCAGGAGUGACAAAGACCUAGGACACAAUCGCCCCAUUUCCUUUUUCUUUUCUUUUCUAGAAGGCAGUCACUCGGGACUUUCAGACCUCAGGAAUUGGCUGUCACGCAUCUCGAGGAAACAUUCAUGGAAGCAAAAUUACAAACACAGGAUGCUUUCACGGUUGCAGAAAGCACUUGCUAUUGUUGUCUUUGAGCUGUAGGAUCUAGUUCCUGGCUGGUUCCAAGGUGUCACCCUCAUAUAACGUUGAAAAGCUGGCCUGAAAUGCUUAGCCAAGGAAAUUCAAGCUUGUGUCUCUACUAGGUCUGGGAAUAUUCUGAGUUGCAACCUAAACUUGCUUCCUCAUUUCUGUGGCAGGUAUGAAUUCUUUGGUCUCCUUAGAAGAGGAAAGAAAUUCCUACGUGGUCCCCAGAAAUUAUUUUUGUGGGCUUUGAGCCACCCUGCACCUACUCGAUGGAUAUCCCACUGCCCUUCUAUAAGAGCUCUCCAAAUCUGGUCCUUGUAAAUCCUACCCAGUGUAGGUAAAGCCUGUUGUUAUUCCUCAGCAUUACGUCUCUUCCUUCAUGGGAGGGGUACCCCAGUUCCUUCGGGAAGCCACCUCUUGCUGACUCUUAGUCAUGAGGUUUAGGUGGGAAUGCCCUUUGCUCUACAGGUGGGCUUUAUUAACUUAAACCAAUCAGCAGAGCCCACAUGUGAUGACAGUGAUCAGUUCAGGAUGGGCCCAUAAUCCCAUUAAAGCCAUAGAGACAUGAGGAAACAUUUGCUAAGUUCUCCCUCUAGACCUCAGCCUGGCUAGUGUCAUUUCCUGCAACUUCCUGGAUACCCCCUUGGCCUCAGACCCUGGAAGUCCUUCCUUUCUUUCUUGCCCAAAUCUUUCUGUUCUACUCAACUUGCCCUUGGUGCUUUUUCAAGAUACUAAUGUGUGUGCCUUUCUAACCAAUGUUUGGUUCUUUUACCUCUUGUUCUUGUAUCCCUGUUCUAAACCAGGGAUAGCAAAUAGAUUUCAUCUCGUCUGUCAACUCUGAUCAAUAAGUAUUAGGACUGAGAUCCAAGCUAAGAAAGAUUCUGAGGCUGCCUCUGGCUUCAGCGAGAAAGUUUCAUAUCCCAGUUAAGACACAGAUCUAUCUGAAGUCCACUCCCACUCACCUUUGUCAGCAGCUUCUUACUGGUGAUUGGAAUCGUGAUGUGGGCUGCGUGUGGUAUUAGCAGAGGGGUGUGUAGUCCGUGAGCGUCUCACCUGGUACUCUGAGCUGGGAUCUGCUGGUCCCAUCUCUCCAGAAAGAGAACUUCCUGACCAGGGAUAGAGGAUGGAUCUGGAGUCGUCUGUUUUUGCUCUCUACCAUGUGAGAGACGGAGGAGUCAUAGCUAAACAUCUGCCCCUCACCCACUUCAAUCUCCUGUCAUCAGCUGCCACCAUGACUACAGAACAAAAACAAGGAGGAAAGAGGACGUAAUUCAGUCAUCUGAAAAUGGUGUCAGUUGAGGCACAUGGGAUCUUUUGGUUCAGCACAUGGAAUCUUCGGUUGCGGCGUGUGAACCUUCAGUGGUGGCAUGUGGGUUCUAGUUGCCUGACCAGGGAUCGGAUGCAGCCUGCUUGCAUUGGGAGCCUGGAGUGUUAGCCACUGGACCACAGAGAAGUCCCAAGCCUAUGUUUCUUCAUCUGUGAAAUAGGGAAAAAAUGACAUCUGUCUCAGAAGGUUUUGUUACUUGCUUUGAGCGAUUCCUCUCACAUAGGAAGUUUGAUUUCUGGAUUUCAUUUACUAGAAAAUUUAUGUUUGAGAAACAUUUUAAU
ensembl:lncRNA